rnacentral:rRNA from 1 species
UUACCCAAUCCUGACUCAGGGAGGUAGUGACAAUAAAUAACAAUGCAGGGCAGGAUUCUGUCUUGUAAUUGGAAUGAGAACAAUUUAAAUCCCUUAACGAGGAUCAAUUGGAGGGCAAGUCUGGUGCCAGCAGCCGCGGUAAUUCCAGCUCCAAUAGCGUAUAUUAAUGUUGUUGCAGUUAAAAAGCUCGUAGCCGACUCUCGGGGCGGUGUCAACGGUCCGCAGAAAUGUGAGCACUGUUGUCUCCGCCUCUUCCUUCUGGACACCAUGUCUUCUCUUAACUGAGCGGAUGUGGGGGCCAGAUCGUUCACUUUGAACAAAUUAGAGUGUUCAAAGCAGGCCUCCGCCUGAAUACUUGAGCAUGGAAUGAUAUCAAUAGGUCCUUCCUCCCCGUUUAUUGGUGAUGGGGAGGAAGGAAAUGAGAAAGGGGAAUGGUUGGGGCCAUUCGUACUGCAGCGUUAGAGGUGAAAUUCUUGGAUCGCUGCAAGACGAACAACAGCGAAAGCAUUUGGCAAGAACGCUUCCACCGGUCAAGAACGAAAGUUAAGGGAUCGAAGACGAUCAGAUACCGUCGUAGUCUUAACCAUAAACUAUGCCGACUAGAGAUCGGUGGAUGUUAUUUAAUGACUCCAUCAGCAUCUUAUGAGAAAUCAAAGUCUUUGGGUUCCGGGGGGAGUAUGGUCGCAAGGCUGAAACUUAAAGGAAUUGACGGAAGGGCACCACCAGGAGUGGAGCCUGCGGCUUAAUUUGACUCAACACGGGGAAACUUACCAGGUCCAGAC